rnacentral:rRNA from 1 species
UUAUGGCUCAGGAUGAACGCUAGCGGCAGGCUUAACACAUGCAAGUCGAGGGGCAUCGGGAGUAGCAAUACUUGCCGGCGACCGGCGCAAGGGUGCGUAACGCGUGAGCAACAUGCCCGUAUCAGGGGGAUAAUCCAUGGAAACGUGGUCUAAUACCCCAUAGUAAUUAUGUAAGGCAUCUUAUAUAAUUUAAAGCUUUGGUGGAUACGGAUUGGCUCGCGUGACAUUAGCUGGAUGGUAAGGUAACGGCUUACCAUGGCUACGAUGUCUAGGGGUUCUGAGAGGAAGGUCCCCCACACUGGAACUGAGACACGGUCCAGACUCCUACGGGAGGCAGCAGUGAGGAAUAUUGGUCAAUGGGCGGAAGCCUGAACCAGCCAUGCCCGCGUGCAGGAUGACGGCCCUACGGGUUGUAAACUGCUUUUCCCCGGGAAGAAUAAGCCCCUCGUGAGGGGUGAUGCCGGUACCGGGGGAAUAAGGAUCGGCUAACUCCGUGCCAGCAGCUGC